AUUGAACGCUGGCGGCAGGCCUAACACAUGCAAGUCGAGCGGAGCGGCGGACGGGUGCGUAAUGCCUAGGUAUCUGCCUGUUCGUGGGGGCUAACGUCCGGAAACGGGCGCUAAUACCGCAUCCUAUCAGAUGAGCCUCGGUCGGAUUAGCUAGUUGGUGGGGUAAAGGCCGACCAAGGCGACGAUCCGGAACUGGUCUGAGAGGACGAGCAGUCACACUGGGACUGAGACACGGUCCAGACUCCGACGGGAGGCAGCAGUGGGGAAGAUUGGACAAUGGGCGAAAGCCUGAGCCAGCCAUGCCGCGUGUAGGAAGAAGGUCUUCGGAUUGUAAAGCACUUUAGGUUGAGAAGCGGUACCAACAGAAUAAGCACCGGCUAACUUCGUGCCAGCCGCCGCGGUAAUAC
rnacentral:rRNA from 1 species